AUAAAUACAAAAGAACUGCUUGAGGCUGGUUGAAGCCAGUUGCAUGUCACUCCAGAGGGAAAAAGAAUGAACAUAACAGUCAAAUUACCUUGGAAAUUGAAUGUUCAGGAGACUUUGCACUACUCUUUUCCAGACAUAGACAUUAAGAUUCACUUAUCUUAAACAUUUUGGGUUGUCAGAAAUGGAGAUACUGAAACCAAAGAAUGGCAUUGUCUCAUUGAACACUAUUUUUAUGGAGAGAAUCUGACCAGUGGGUUCUGAAUAACAUACUAGCAGACCACCAUUUACUACAGAAAGACCCAAGGAACUGUAAGAAUGAUAUGUAAAUUUUUAAAGUUCAGAAUUACUUUCCUUAAAUUAUGAAUGUACUAAAUUUUAAGUGUAACAUGUA